CUCACGCUCCUCCGCUGCCCCAUCUUCUACUCCUCCCCCUUUCUCCAUUCCCACCCAAGGCGAAUCCCAUGGUACAGCUCGCUUUCGUCGAAGCUGGAGAUAUCCCGCGGCGGCCCUGCCUGCUCCGAUUCACCUGCCCUCGCUGUGUUCCUGCGGCGACCUUGUUUAAAAAAAAAGGUAUGACAAAAAAGCUCAGAGGUGCCCGGCAUCAAUCUCGGAAGAUGCAACAUCGUGACGACCCAUGUGUCACAGGGCAUUUCAUCAUGGCUUAGCCAAACUUAAUUGGGGUGAGAGGGGAUCGAACUCUUGACCUCAGGGAUAACUCAAGACACCUACGCGCUAACCAACUGCGCCACUAACUCGUUGUUCCCUUGCUGUUGUUGUGUGCCUUAUGAGUGGCGCCAGUUGGAUGGUAAUGAUCUAAAAUAUUUAUUUAGUCAGUCCGUAUGCAUGGUUCACAUUAUGCUACAGGAAUUCUACUGUGGAUGAUACUUUGGAAAGUUU
rnacentral:lncRNA from 1 species